rnacentral:rRNA from 1 species
UACGUAGGGGCCAAGCGUUGUCCGGAUUUAUUGGGCGUAAAGAGCUCGUAGGCGGUUCGGUAAGUCAGCUGUGAAAUCUCCACGCUCAACGUGGAGGGGUCAGCUGAUACUGCCGUGACUUGAGUCUGGUAGGGGAGUGCGGAAUUCCCGGUGUAGCGGUGAAAUGCGCAGAUAUCGGGAGGAACACCAGUGGCGAAGGCGGCUUUCUGGUCUGCUCUUGACGCUGAGGCGCGAAAGCUAGGGUAGCAAACGGG